rnacentral:rRNA from 1 species
CCGUAGCCCAAGAGAUCGGGAUAACACCUGGAAACAGAUGCUAAUACCGGAUAACGACAGAUGAUGCCUAUCAACUGUUUAAAAGAUGGUUCUGCUAUCACUCUUGGAUGGACCUGCGGUGCAUUAGCUAGUUGGUAGGGUAACGGCCUACCAAGGCGAUGAUGCAUAGCCGAGUUGAGAGACUGAUCGGCCACAUUGGGACUGAGACACGGCCCAAACUCCUACGGGAGGCAGCAGAC